rnacentral:rRNA from 1 species
UGGGGAAUAUUGGACAAUGGGCGCAAGCCUGAUCCAGCCAUGCCGCGUGAGUGAUGAAGGCCCUAGGGUUGUAAAACUCUUUCACCGGUGAAGAUAACGACGGUAACCGGAGAAGAAGCCCCGGCUAACUUCGUGCCAGCAGCCGCGGUAAUACGAAGGGGGCUAGCGUUGUUCGGAAUCACUGGGCGUAAAGCGCGCGUAGGCGGAUUGGUCAGUCAGGGGUGAAAUCCCGGGGCUCAACCCCGGAACUGCCUUUGAUACUGCCAGUCUUGAGUUCGGGAGAGGUGAAUGGAAUUCCGAGUGUAGAGGUGAAAUUCGUAGAUAUUCGGAAGAACACCAGUGGCGAAGGCGAUUCACUGGCCCGAUACUGACGCUGAGGUGCGAAAGCGUGGGGAGCAAACAGGAUUAGAUACCCCCGUAGUCC